AUGAUUACCAAAGAAAAAUCUUUUUGGUUUUUGAUUUUUAAUUUCAUAUGAAAAUAAAACUUGAACCUAUUAAAGAAAAAUCUUUUAUGUAGUUUUCUUUUAAAGAUGUAUAUGAAAAACCUACUAUAAUAAAGAGUGAAGAAAAUUUUCUUUUUUUGAAUUUUUCAAAUAAGAUCUCCGAACCAACAAUAUACGUAUCUCACUCCCGAGAGAGGAGAAUCAGGGGUGCGUAGUCUAUCCAGAG
rnacentral:lncRNA from 1 species